GCCGGGUGUGGUGGCGCAUGCCUGUAAUCCCAGCUACUUGGGAGGCUGAGGCAGGAGAAUCGCUUGAACUCGGGAGGCGGAGGUUGCAGUGAGCCGAGAUCACACCACUGCACUCCAGCCUGAGAGACAGAGUGAGUCUCAGCCUCAA
rnacentral:SRP_RNA from 2 species